AGUGAACGCUGGCGGCAGGCCUAACACAUGCAAGUCGAACGAACCUUUCGGGGAUAGUGGCGGACGGGUGAGUAACACGUGGGAACGUGCCUCUAGGUUCGGAAUAACGCAGGGAAACCUGUGCAAAUAGCGAUAGCGGCCUUCGGGGGCAAUAUUAAUCGCAUUUCAAGCAGCCCGCGUCUGAUUAGUUAGUUGGAUGAGGUAAUGGCUCACCAAGGCGACGAUCAGUAGCUGGUCUGAGAGGAUGAUCAGCCACCUUGGGACUGAGACACGGCCCAAACUCCUUCGGGAGGCAGCAGUGGGGAAUCUUGCGCAAUGGGCGAAAGCCUGACGCAGCCAUGCCGCGUGAAUGAUGAAGGUCUUAGGAUUGUAAAAUUCUUUCACCGGGGACGAUAAUGACGGUACCCGGAGAAGAAGCCCCGGCUAACUUCGUG
rnacentral:rRNA from 1 species